GAUGAACGCUGGCGGCGUGCCUAAUACAUGCAAGUCGAGCGAACAGACGAGGAGCUUGCUCCUCUGACGUUAGCGGCGGACGGGUGAGUAACACGUGGAUAACCUACCUAUAAGACUGGGAUAACUUCGGGAAACCGGAGCUAAUACCGGAUAAUAUAUUGAACCGCAUGGUUCAAUAGUGAAAGACGGUUUUGCUGUCACUUAUAGAUGGAUCCGCGCCGCAUUAGCUAGUUGGUAAGGUAACGGCUUACCAAGGCGACGAUGCGUAGCCGACCUGAGAGGCGGAUCGGCCACACUGGAACUGAGACACGGUCCAGACUCCUACGGGAGGCAGCAGUAGGGAAGCUUGCGCAAUGGGCGAAAGCCUGACGGAGCAACGCCGCGUGAGUGAUGAAGGGCUUCGGAUCGUAAAACUCUGUUAUUAGGGAAGAACAAAUGUGUAAGUAACUAUGCACGUCUUGACGGUACCUAAUCAGAAAGCCACGGCUAACUACGUG
rnacentral:rRNA from 1 species